rnacentral:lncRNA from 1 species
AAUUAAUUAGGGAACGUCCUCUAAUCAAUUACUAAUUAACAAAUUGCCAAGGAACGUCCUUGGGCCAUAGGCAUCAAAACAAUUGUCAAUUGCAUAAAGAAAUAGAGAGAUCCAAUCCUAGCUACCCAAACGUAUGGAGAUAACGCUAGAUCAUGCAAUUUCUUGGUUUUUACACCAAGUGUUCUAAGGUCAGAAUAUUUUAAGCAAUUACGGACUAAAAAUAAUCCCAACUAACAAUCAAUUAACUUUGCAAUUAAAAUCAAGUGGCCAAUUUGAUCAGAACAACAAAGUAAUCAUAUAAUUAAAGCAUCAAUUGCAUAAAUAUUGAACAAAACCAAAAACAAUAAUUUAUGUCCAGAUCUCACAACCCAUUAAACAACCUUAGUUUCAACCAAUUCUCAAUUAGAAUUAAAGAAAUCAGCCACUCAUUGGCUGAAUUAAAAACAGAAAAUUAAAAGGAAAAGAAAAUGAAACCGAAGAGAGGAGAUCUGCACUUCUGUCGCGCCUUGCGAGAAUUGCCGAAUUGAAGAAAUUGUGUUGUCCCCUAAUGUAACAGCCCGGAAACCGAUACCCCUCUGUAACGGCCCAAACUGCUCGGCGCUAGGAUCCAGAUCGGCUUAAGGCCGCCGGGACCCGUAGCAAGCCUAAACUGAACUCUGUGUACCUGAUCAAUCCCAUACAUGAUCCAACUAGAACACUAGCUUUUAAAACCUUGUCUGUAAAACCACCAGGCUUAACCGUAAAACCACAGCCGACAAGGCCUACACCAGUGAUCUACUACUCAGCUGAAAACAUAGAACCCACUCUCUUUGGGUCAGCAUAUUACAGGCUAGCCUUACUUUCCGUUAUGGGUCAAGCGGUUUUAUACCCUUUCUUCCCUCUCAGAUGGGUCUAGGGGUUUUAUACCCUUUCUUCCCUGAUCACUGGAGUUAUAUAAACACAUCAUAUGUUAAGCCUAGCUUGACACAUUUCUCAACAAGAAACGUAAAACAGGACACAUGCAUACACCAGGGAUUCAGCAUACACUGGGCAAAGCACAACUCUAGACAUUAUCUCAUUAUACUCUAUCUCUUUAUCACCUGCUCUUUCCAUGCAUAACCUGUAUAUACAUCAUGCGAACACAUCAUGUCCAUACAUCAUGUCCACUACUAUACUAUAUAAACAUGCAUAACAUAACAUAGCAUCCUUAACCUUUACAUCGCCUUACAGAAACAUAUACAUCAAGCUUCUCUUAUACAUAUGCAUGCCACAUGCCACUCUAUCACAACCUAGCUAUGCUAUUACAGCCAAACACAGCAACCCAUGCUUACACUCUGCUUUUCCCAUAGCUCACUCUGCUGAACUCUGCUGAACUCUAGCCCUGCAAAACUGGGGUUAAGGGAAUGGGGUGAGCUAUUAGAGCCCAGUGAGUAGAAACCCUAAAAUAGUUCAUUCAUUACAUGCUUUCAUGGAAUGUGUCACAGCACAAACAUCUCACAUCUCGGAUUAGACAUGAUCCCAGAACUCCCUCUGUCGGUGCCCGGCCCCUAUGGACUCCCAGGUCACUACAUGUACUAGAGCCCGGCCCCUAACUGCGGAGCUCCCAAAGGUCUUAUCUAGACAUAACAGGUUGCGGGCUACUGAGAUCACCUUGGUCCAUCCCAUCAAUAAUAAGAAUGCAAUGCAGCAUAUUCGUGAUCUCUAAUGCAGUACAACCUAGUAUCAUAUGGCAUCCAUGAUGCGUGUCUCAUGCUCAUACUGUCACUAUCUUUAAUCAUUAGCUGUAAAACAUGCAUAGUUAGUUCUACUCACCUGAAGCCAAGCUGUGGCUCACUCUGGGCCAACUCUCACACUGGAGCUACACACCUCGCCUCAGGUCCGAUCCUACACAGGUGGACUCAUAUGAGGUGCCAAACAACUCUAACAGAACUCUCAAACAUCUCCCCAAAAACCCCCCUAAAACACCAUAGACAUGCAUGGAAAAACAUGCAAAGGAAGGCAAAACAGGGCACAUUCGGCGGCACUUUCGGCGGCCGAAAGUCCUCUCCAGAGACAAAAGUUAGGCAUGUUCGGCGGCAGGUUCGGCGGCCGAAUCUCCACUCCAGAGCCGAAAGUCCAAACCUUCGGGGGCGAGUUUAGGCGGCCUAUCCCACCUCCUCAAGGGUUCGGCGGCCGAAACUCCUUUCGGCGGCCGAACCUGAGUUCCUCCAGAACCCAGAUCCAUGCACCAACAAGCCUCCCUAAACCUUCCUCACCCUCUUAACAUGCAUAUAACCUCUUAAAACCAUGCACAAACCCUUAAACACACCUAUAGGAGCUUAAACAACCUUGCACUCCCACACACAACAUCACAUAACCACAUAUAGCAAACAAAGGCAUAAAGGAUGCAUAAACCCCUUCAUGCACAACUCAUGCAAACCAUGCAAACCUACCCUUUUAUCCUUCCAUAAAACGUGCUUAAAACACCAUAAAUCAUAAGGAUCAACACUUACCUCUUCAAGAACUAGAGUUGGUGUGAUCCUAACUUCAAAACAUGGAGAAACCAAGCUUCAAGAGCUUCAAACUCCAAAACCUUGCUCCAAGCUCACAACUCUUCAAAACAAGGAUAAAACUCAUUAAAAACCAUGCAAGAACUUCCAAAAACCAUGAAAUCAUCUCAAGGAGGACAUGAGCUCACCUUGGGUGGGAAGAGGAAGAAACCUUACCUCUUGAACCGACCUAAGGGCUUUUAUAGGUGGCUUGGUCAACCAUCUUCAGCAGCCAAACUUACACCCGCAACUCAGCCAACUUCGGCGGCCGAACCUAGCUUUCGGGGGCACAAACUCUACCACCUUCGGCGGCCGAACCUCUGCUUUUCCCUCCUUGACCUUUUCUCUGCAAAAACUCAUUUCCUUUCCUUUCAAAACCAUAAAACACCUAAAACCAGGUUAGAAAACCUUUUUCACACCUUGUAAAAACGUCAGUUUACCCUUGCAAUACCCCUCAACACGAAUCCAACAUCCGAGAUUCCACCGGACGGUAGGAAUUCCGAUGCCUGAACGAGCCGGGUAUUACAAUCUACCCCCCUUAUAAAAACAUUCAUCCCCGAAUGUUAAAACAACAAACAAACAAGCAAACAAGCAAACGAAAUUGAACGCCUCUCUAGAACUGCACACGCUUCCACUGCGCACUCUGAUCCUUGCCCUUCUUUCUUCAUCUGUACUACACUGGCGUCAUCUUUAACUCGCAACAGGCUUCUGCUGCGCUACUCUGAUCCUUCUCUUCCUCCUUCUCUGCUCUGACUUUUCUUGCUCUCUUCUGCCUCUGUACCCUCCUAGGCUCACGGCUUCAUCCUUCUUGAUCACUCUCACAACACUACGAGAUUAAGGCUGGUUCCCAGACCUCCUAAACACCCUACGAGUCUGACAGCUGACAGCGAACUUCUAGGCAUUCUACUGGGUCCCCUCUGACACCUACCUCAGAUCCCUCCUGAACUCCGGACUACCGUGAGCUGCAGACGCAGGUAACCCCAGCAUCAUAAAGAGAAAACCAAGCCAUCCCCCGAAUGACAUCCAAACACUCAAGUCUCGGACCGUCAAGUCAAGUGGCUGGCAUCUACUCUCAAGGACAUUGGACUGAACCUUUGCCAGAGAUGAAUCCUACCCGGGUCUAACUAACCCAAACAGGACACGCUAAGCCGAGAAGCUAUCAACUCAACCGCUCAAAGCUCCUAGAGCAACUAACGCAAAAGACACACUAGGGCUCACAAAACAACAGAACAGGACAAGUGAGCAUACCUGGCAUCACUGUGUCCGCUGUGUCUGCUCCUCUACGUCCUUGGUGACUGGUCUGACCUACAUUCCUGGUAGUUAACCGCUGGGAGUGUACCACCCUGGGCGCAGUAGGACACUCACGCGCAAAGUGCCCUUCCUGUCCACACUUGAAACAUGCCGUAGUACCAAUCCGACAAGGCCGCGAUGUAGCUUUUCGCACCUCAGACAUCGUCUAGGGCCUGAGUCAGAACUCGAGCCACCACCAGCACCUAGACUAGCCUUUCGUCUCUGCCAAAACGUGCCCUUCUUCGCCUUUCGACGGCCUCUAACCUUCUUUUUCUUUCUUUUAGCAGCUGUGCUCAGAAGGGAGGGCUCAACUUCUCCUGAACUUGAGAUCUUAGACUCCUUCGUCUGCGCAUCAUCUUUCGACUUUCCCAUACUUUCUUCAUCCAUAUUCACUUGCACACCUACAUCCCUCCUUGGCACAUCCAUUCUCUCUUCUCUCAUGAUGUCUCCGGACAUUCUUCCUUGCUCCAUUCCUUCUUUGCUUAGCUCUAACGAUUUUGCAGGGUUCCUUGAUGAUUCCUUACUGCCAACUCCUCCUGACUGCACUCCUGGCAGAACGGGAGAAAAGGUGUCCAUACCUUCCCACUCAGAUGGAUCUGACUCCACACACUGACUAGCACCUUGCAUCAUCCCUCUUCUGAAACACAACAGGCACACAAGCAUACAUCAGCUUCACAUCAUGUGAUCCAUGUAAAACACACAAAGCACAUGAAAAGCAGCCUAACAUAGGGUCCAUGUAGCAAACACAUGAACUCUACAACAUAUGUAGCAUGGAUGAUCCUGUCACCAAAAGCCCUCAAUCUAGCAUCACAUGCCAUGACCAACUGUGCCAAAGGCCAUACCUGGUCUCUCAACUCAUUUUAUAUCAUAACAUAGCAUAUCGAGGACUAAGGGAUCAGUCAACAUCCAUCAUACCAACAGAAAUGCACCUGCAUCACACAUGGCAUUACACAUCAUCAAGCAAGACAUGACUCCGCAUCCUAUCCUAGUGGACAUGAGCUUUCUCUCGAUCUUUCUUAUUGUGCUUGCCCUCCUAAAGACAACAACCUCUUUCCGAUGUGAGAUACCUCUAAUCCCUGAGCAUCUUUGCUCAUUACACCGUACUCAAGAGGCCCUAUGCUCUGAUACCAUCUAUAACAGCCCGGAAACCGAUACCCCUCUGUAACGGCCCAAACUGCUCGGCGCUAGGAUCCAGAUCGGCUUAAGGCCGUCGGGACCCGUAGCAAGCCUAAACUGAACUCUGUGUACCUGAUCAAUCCCAUACAUGAUCCAACUAGAACACUAGCUUUUAAAACCUUGUCUGUAAAACCACUAGGCUUAACCGUAAAACCACAGCCGACAAGGCCUACACCAGUGAUCUACUACUCAGCUGAAAACAUAGAAUCCACUCUCUUUGGGUCAGCAUAUUACAGGCUAGCCUUACUUUCCGUUAUGGGUCAAGGGGUUUUAUACCCUUUCUUCCCUCUCAGAUGGGUCAAGGGGUUUUAUACCCUUUCUUCCCUGAUCACUGGAGUUUUAUAAACACAUCAUAUGUUAAGCCUAGCUUGACACAUUUCUCAACAAGAAACGUAAAACAGGACACAUGCAUACACCAGGGAUUCAGCAUACACUGGGCAAAGCACAACUCUAGACAUUAUCUCAUUAUACUCUAUCUCUUUAUCACCUGCUCUUUCCAUGCAUAACCUGUAUAUACAUCAUGCGAACACAUCAUGUCCAUACAUCAUGUCCACUACUGUAACGACCCGAAAAUCGGACCACUACCGGCGCUAGGAUCCAGAUCGGCUUAAGGCCGCCGGGACCCGUAGCAAGCCUGACAUAUAACCUGUAAACCUGUAUAAUCCCAUACAUGAUCAACAACAUGCAUAAAAAUUUAAACUUUUCUUUCAUACAUCCANNNNNNNNNNNNNNNNNNNNNNNNNNNNNNNNNNNNNNNNNNNNNNNNNNNNNNNNNNNNNNNNNNNNNNNNNNNNNNNNNNNNNNNNNNNNNNNNUGAGAUUUACCUGCAAGCCUUUCUAGCAUCUGAUCAAUGAAAGGCAGUGGGAAGUGGUCCUUCCUUGUUGCAGCAUUGAGCUUCCUAUAGUCCAUGCAUACUCUCCAUCCAUUUUGAACUCUAGUGGGGACAAGUUCUCCUUCAGCAUUUGGAACAAUGGUGAUCCCAGUUUUCUUUGGGACUACAUGCACAGGACUCACCCAUUUGCUAUCAGAGAUUGGGUAGAUGAUACCUGCAUCAAGGAGCUUGACUAUUUCUUUUUUUACUACCUCCAUCAUGGGUGGAUUCAGUCUUCUUUGAGCAUCUCUGACUGGCUUGCAUUCAUCCUCCAUGUGAAUUCUAUGCAUGCAUGUGGAAGGCGAAAUACCUUUUAUGUCAUCAAUGGUCCAUCCUAUGGCCUUUUUGUGUUUCUGUAGUACCUUCAAGAGGCUUGCUUCUUCAUGUUGGUUCAAUUCAUUGGACACUAUUACUGGUAAUGUCUUAUCAGUCCCCAAGUACAUGUAUUUCAGAUGGCCUGGAAGGGGUUUCAGAUCAGAAGGUGGUUGCAAAGGUGGAUUAGAAGAGCUUGCUUGCGACGGGGGCUGCUGGGAGAGGUUCGGCGGCCGAAAAGGUUCUGCAUUCGGCGGCCGAAUUCCUUCAGUUUGAGGAGUGAGCCGUGGCGAUGGAUUCGGCUUUCGCAAGUCAGUGGGGUUCGGCGGCCGAAGGUGGGCUAUGUUUGGCGGCCGAAUGUCUUCUGUCUGCGCGACCUCUAUCUGCUGAAUGCUGCAGAUUGUUUCUUUCAGUUUCAGGUCUUCAAUCCUGCAAAGAUCAUCAUCUAAAACAGAGUCUUGAUUUUCAUUAAACACAUCUUGGCUCAAACAAUCAAUAAUAUCAAGUCCAUAAACUGGGGACAUAUCAUGUGGAUAUUUCAUGGCAUCAUAGACAUUGUACUUAAUGACCUCCCCUUCAAAUUCCAUGGUGAGAGUACCAUCAUGCACAUCAAUUUUAGUUCUAGCAGUACUCAAGAAAGGACGUCCAAAAAGAAUAUCAGAGCUAGUAUUGCAACUAUCUUCCUUAGUAUCAAUCACAUAAAAAUCAGCAGGAAAGACUAGUUCAUUUACUUGAACUAACACAUCUUCUAGAACACCUAUGGGAUAUACCACAGAUCUAUCAGCUAAUUGAAUCACAACUCUUGUGUCUUUCAAAGCACAUGCAUUCAGAGAUUUAUAGAUGGAGAGAGGCAUGACAUUGAUAGAUGCACCUAGAUCACACAUGGCUUUCUUAAUACCAACAUUCCCAAUUUUGCAAGAGAUAGCAAACAUACCUUUGUCUUUGCAUUUAGUAGGGAGUUCUCUUUUAAUAACAGCAGUGACUACCUCACCUACACUUACUUUCUCUCUUUCAGCCAGCUUUCUUCUAUUGGUGCACAACUCCUUCAGAAAUUUUGCGUACCUUGGAAUCUGCUUGACAGCGUCUAGCAGUGGUAUGUUGAUUUCCACUUUUCUGAAGGUCUCAAGGAUCUCCUUUUCUUCUUUUUCUUUUUGAGUUCUUUCAAAUCUUUUUGGAAAAGGAGGUGGGAUGUGAAAACUUACCUUCGGGUCAGCUCUUUGAGCAGGAGGUGGUGCAGAAUACGAUGAAGAGGCUUCAGAUCGCCUUGGAUGUUGUGCAGAGGGUGUCUCAGAUGAUGUACGCUUUGGUUCAACUUGCUUUUCCUCCUCAAAUUUUGCAUCUUGAAGCUCUUUUCCACUUCUCAAAGUAAUGGCACUUACACUUUGUUUGGGAUUUGCCUCAGUUUGGGAAGGCAACUUUCCUUGAGCUUCCAAUCUGUUUAUGGAGGUGGCCAUUUGUCCCAUCUGUUGUUGUAUCAUUUGCAAGGUCUUCACUACCUCGUUCAUAGUGUUAUUGUCCAUUGGAGGUGCUGGUUGGACUUGGCUUCUUUGGUAACCUUGGUGAUUCUGAUCAGUGUUGCCCUUUCCAUAGCUGAAAUUGGGAUGGUCUCUCCAACCUGGAUUAUAGGUGUUGGAGUAUGGAUCAUAUCUAGGCUGGUUGUUGUACCUCCCAAUGGUGUUGGCUUGCUGAUGGUCUUCUUGGAGUGUGGGACAUUGAUCAGUUAGGUGUCCCACACAUAAACAAAUCCCACAUGGCCUAGGUAGCUGGGGUGCUUGAAUCUGUUGUACCACAUCCACCAUAGCAUUUUUUAUAACAGAUGUUAGUUCAGACAUAGAAGGAAAAUUUACCUCAUUGGCCCUUUGUAGUUGCCUCUCUUCUCCAUAUUGCCUAGAUGAGGCUGCAAGAGUGGAGAUUAAUUCUCUCAUUUGUCUAGGUGUUUUGUCUUCAAUGGAGCCUCCACAGGUUACAUAAAUGAAUUUUCUUUCUGAGGGAGAUAAUCCUCCAUAGAAGAAUUGUAUAAGGGCCUUGUCUGACAUGUCAUGUUGAGGGCAUUCUGUGCAAAGUCUUUCAAAUCUUUCCCAAUAAUCAUAAAGGUCCUCAGAUGGUUUUUGCUUUAUGCUUGUAAUUUCUCUUACUAUGCCAAUUGAUUUAUGAGUUGGGAAGUAUUUGUUCAAAAAGGUUCUGACCAUAUCAUCCCAAGAAGUAAUAGAUCCAGGUGGCAAGUAAAAUAACCAAUCUUUAGCAAAGUCUUCUAAUGAAAAGGGGAAGGCUCUUAACUUAAUUUGGUCUUCAGAGAUACCUUGAGGUUUCAUAGAUGAACAGAUCAUAUUGAAUGCUUUUAAGUGCUUGUGUGGAUUUUCAUUUUCUCUACCUCUAAACUUAGGGAGAAUGUGUAUCAAACCUGUCUUCAGUUCAAAGGGAACUGUCAGAGGUGGGUAGGUGAUGCAAAGUGGUGCAUAGUCACCUACAGAGGUUGCCAAUUCUCCCAUAGUUCUUUCUCUUUGUUCUUGGGGCCUAACUGCUGGAUUUUCUUGAACUAUUUGGUUCUGGACAGCAAGUCCAUUUGGGGCAGCAUCUUGUGGAUUAGGUUCAGCCAUUGGUGCAGCUUGUUGGUAAAAUUCGGUUGCUUCAGAUGAAGUUUCUGCGGCUUGCUUUCUAAGUCUUCUGAGAGUGCGUUCAAUUUCUGGAUCAAAGGGCAGUGUGUCCCUGUGUUCAGAUCUGGUAAUGAAAGAAAAAUAAAUGAGUUAAAUUAAUUCCCCGGCAACGGCGCCAAUUUUUGACUCACGGUUGUCGAAGCCGGUCAAAAAUAACCUUUCUGGUUAUCAACAAAUUUACACUUGUAGAUAGUGGUGAAAGGAUCGAAUCCACAGAGAAUUGAGAACUCACCUAUUUCUCUUUUUAUGAUCAAGAAAAUAAACUGGAACGAUAAUAAAUUAAAGAUGAGAUAAAAACUGAAAGUGGGAUCAAACGAGAUAAACUGAAAGCAAAAAUAAAUUGCAAUAAAAGUAAAAUGGGGGGUUUGAGAUUGAUUGUAGUAACUAAUAAUGAGAGUAAUAAUAGAAAGCAAAUAAUUAAAAUAAAAGAGGAAAUCAAUAUGAGAAAAGUCUAGUUGAAGGUAUGGAUCCACUUUGGUUGUUUGGAUUGAUCAUUGAAACUUAGAUUAUCUUGAUUGGUUCAAUAGAUUAGUUAUGGGGGUGGAAGAUGCUUCUCACCACCAUGUCUCUCCUUAUGAUUAAAUUAAUUAGGGAACGUCCUUUAAUCAAUUACUAAUUAACAAAUUGCCAAGGAACAUCCUUGGGCCAUAGGCAUAAAAACAAUUGUCAAUUGCAUAAAGAAAUAGAGAGAUCCAAUCCUAACUACCCAAACGUAUGGAGAUAACGCUAGAUCAUGCAAUUCCUUGGUUUUUACACCAAGUAUUCUAAGGUCAGAAUAUUUCCAGCAAUUACGGACUAAAAAUAAUUCCAACUAACAAUCAAUUAACUUUGCAAUUAAAAUCAAGUGGCCAAUUUGAUCAGAACAACAAAGUAAUCAUAUAAUUAAAGCAUCAAUUGCAUAAAUA